rnacentral:rRNA from 1 species
UCAGGCCUAACACAUGCAAGUCGAACGAAGUAGCAAUACUUAGUGGCAGACGGGUGAGUAACAUGUAGGUAUCUACCCUUUGGCCUGGAAUAACACGAGGAAACUUGUGCUAAUACCGGAUAAGUCUUUACGGAGAGAGCUUUAUGCACCAUUGGAUGAGCCUGCACUUGAUUAGUUUGUUGGUGGGGUAAUGGCCUACCAAGACUGUGAUCAAUAGCUGAUUUGAGAGGAUGAUCAGCCACAUUGGGACUGAGACACGGCCCAAACUCCUACGGGAGGCAGCAGUGGGGAAUCUUGCACAAUGGAGGAAACUCUGAUGCAGCGAUGCCGCGUGAGUGAAGAAGGCCUUUGGGUUGUAAAGCUCUUUCGUCGGGGAAGAAAAUGACUGUACCCGAAUAAGAAGGUCCGGCUAACUUCGUGCCAGCAGCCGCGGUAAUACGAAGGGACCUAGCGUAGUUCGGAAUUACUGGGCUUAAAGAGUUCGUAGGUGGUUGAAAAAGUUAGUGGUGAAAUCCCAGAGCUUAACUCUGGAACUGCCAUUAAAACUUUUCAGCUAGAGUGUGAUAGAGGAAAGCAGAAUUUCUAGUGUAGAGGUGAAAUUCGUAGAUAUUAGAAAGAAUACCAAUUGCGAAGGCAGCUUUCUGGAUCAUUACUGACACUGAGGAACGAAAGCAUGGGUAGCGAAGAGGAUUAGAUACCC